rnacentral:tRNA from 1 species
GGGGUCGUGGGACAACCUGGCAGCCUACCGCCUUGGGGGGGGCUUGAAUGGCGGCGAUCCGAGUUCAAAUCUCGGCGACCCCA